UGCAUAUUGGCUGUUUUCCCAGCCCUGGGAAGUCUUUCAGAAGCAUGCUGUGGCACAUUUCGGUUAGUUUUAGUGAAUUGCAGUGUACAAGCUGGGUUCUUUCUCCUGAAGUGCUGAUGCUGCAGCAUUCCCGUCAGACCGCAGGCAGCAAGCAUCUUUCUGCUAUUUCUCUAUGUGGGCACAUACAGACCUGGGUCUUGGAGAAUUUACAGCAGCUUCAGCUUUGUAACCUACAGUGCAAGGGGAAUGCCUGCCUGCACGGAGCAAGCGUCCGACCGCACAGCUGUGCUCUGGUGCUGUGUCCAGGUUAACUUCACAUGGCAGCCACUGAAAGCGUGCGCUGAAGAACGUGCCCAGAGGAAGUUCCUCCACGCUGGUGGCUCACCAGGCUGGGCAGGAAGCAGCAGGUCACAGUUAGAUGUAACUUACUUUAAAGAUGGAUUGGAAUUGGAAAUUCAAGUUGGAGAAAUGUGAAAGCAAUUGGGCCUAAUCCAUUCCUGUUGUUACUCCUUUUGUUUUCACUGGAGUUACUCCAAGGCUGAAUUCAGCAUAUGAUGAACAACUUGUUCUCCAAAGCUGGAACUUAGGGGAGAAGGUUUUAGGGAUGAUCACGCAACUCUAAGGCUCCUUCUGAAACAACUGAAGCCCCCACAAGAGGGACAAUAUAUGGUGAGUUUGGGUUAUUGAAUUUAGUGCAACAUUCUAGUAAUAAGCCCUCUAGUCAUAAUAAUACAUUAUUAUCCAUUAGAACAAUUACUUGAAUGAAACCCAACUGCUGGCUCGCUUAGAUUGGAUGGAAAAAUCCUAGCUGUUGAUCUCAAUUGCCAGUUAGCUUAACAGAUACUAACCACGAGCAAGCGACAAAUGGCUCUGAGCCUGGAAAUCCUCCUCCUGCUUCCCUUUCCUCUCACCUUGCCUGGAGCCAGCUCCUCCAGCAUUGCCACUCACGUAAUGCUGCCUGCUCUUUGUGCAUCAACCAUCUCAGCCGCAGCCCAAGUCUCCAAAGAACUUACAAGCUCUAGGUCUGUUUUGGUUAGUUGGAAAAAAAGAGAGUGCUACAGACCAUGGUGAAACUGCAUGUUACCAACUGGAGUCAGUGUUCUUUGUCUGGGUUUGUGUUUUUUUUUUUUUUUUUUUUGUUUGUUUGUUUGUUUGUUUUUUCAGGAGUGGGGGGCAUUUCUUUUGAAAGGAUGAAACUCCUCACAGAUCUGCAAGGGCAAAACAGUCCUUGCUGCUGGUUAAUUCCUCCUGCAUUCCUGUGAGCCGCUGAAAGGAUCAUAGCAGAGACAAGAUCCCCAUGGUAAAAUUAAGCUUUUAUUUCCUGGAGAAAUAACCAUUAACAUCUCUCUGGCUCACUCUAUUUCAUUUACUUCUUAAACAACUUAGAUCACACAGGGCUCCAGGAGGGGUGCACUGCUUGCAAAGAAAAGGCCUGGAUGAUUUUCUCCAUUUAAGAGAGUCUUGUGAAAGUUGUGCUUCCUGCUUUUGCCCAGAGAGGAGGAUUUAUACCAGAUGCUUCUGCAGUCUCCGCUGUGUGUGACUUGGAGGGUGGAAGAUGCACCACGAUUGCCAUGGUUGGGAGGCCAGAGCAGCCCGCUGCUGAGCAACCUGAGUCCUGCCCAACAGAAAUCUCUGUUGGGCAGGCCAAGGGUGGUGCAGAACAUGCCAGGAAAGGAAGCAGUGCUGCAGAAGGGGCAUUCACAGUGCUUGUGACGGGUGGCUGGAGAUGGAGGAAGCACUUCUCCAUGUUUUCUUCAUACAGUUAUACAUUUAGUGAGCAGGGAGGGAGGACCCUUAGCUUUUACAAAUAAAGUAAAGCAAUUUCCAAUCCUACUUAAUAAGCUGGUCGGUGCAAAAAAUUGAUGAGAUGCUGCUCUGCUUAGAUCUGAGGAGGUUUUAGGGAGAAGGCAGGAAAAAAUGAUGCAUUCCAUACAGUUACUGACCUCAAGGCUCAGUGGAGAAAAUGCCAGAAAGCCAAGGAAAACAGUAGGAAUAGUUAAAUCUUACAAACCACAGCACGGAGGGAUUAUCACACCAAACCUUGGUUAAAGUUCACAUAGCAAAGAGGAUCUCUGGCUUCCUAGGAACUACAGCUCCUACUGUUUGUCUGACGUGCUGCUCCAAGACAUAAUCACUUCCCAAACGUCUCUUGGUCAUCAAGAGCACUAUACUUUGGGCCAAGGCUUUCAGAACACUUCAGCACUAAAUCAAGCGUGUUACUGCUUAGCUUAAGCACGGGGAAGGAGAGGCUGUAUUUUCCCAUCGCCAGCUGUGUUUCUGCAAGGCACCCCAAACCAGUAUAACGAUCUGGGUUUGCACAUGUGUUUGAUGGAUCUUAAAGGUGGGACCUGCUCAGCUUCCUGGGCACCCUGGCCGAAACAGGCCACCAUGCCAGUCUGCUUGUGCUCUGCUUUCUGCUCUGAGCUGGGACGGUUGGUGCCAACACUAUGCAUUAGGCAGGAAAAUUGGUGCUUGUGCUCUGCGUGUUGGAGGAGGGUAAAAUCAUAUGGAGAGCCUGCACACCUUGCCUUCUCUGGGAGCCCAGCACCAGGAAUCAGGUGUCUCCCAGUGGGGAACCCACGCUCCUCGCACGAGCUUCUCCUGCGGCUGUGAAGCAGCCCUGCCGGUGAAGGCUUCUCCAUGUGUGCAGGUAUCCAGAGUGACCACAGGAUGUUAUGUGUCUAGUCGCAGUUUAUUGGAGAGGUUAAAAUCCUUCUGGGAGAGAGAUGGUAACGGGAAUACUUAAAAUAUGCAAUGAGGUGUUUCCAUAAAAUUAUCGAAAGCUUUGCAGAAUCUUCCUCUGGAGAAGAGCCAUCACUGGAGAGUUCAUGCCAGCCAUGGUUUGGGUAGGGCAAAACCUAUUGCUUUAAUACUUCAGAUAGUCUCCAGGGCUCGGAUGAGCUCUUCUGGGGGAAGGGAGAUUGCCCCAUGCUUGCCUGUUCUGAAGUUUCUCACAUUUUUCUCUUUUACACUUGGCAGCCAGAGCUCCGCGUCUGACUCUCCAUGGCAAUUCCUACAGAGUUUGGCUGUUUUAAAGGACUGCAAUACUGAUUUAGACAUCCAAAUUGGAAAAGCAGUGUUUAAAGUGGACCUAUUUUUUCCCUGUAGAGUGAUACUCGUUAAAGAUCUUUGUUAAAUUAUUUACCAGUGGUCUUGCAAGAUCAACAGAUCUUUCCAUUUAACCACUUCCAUGACUUCCAUCAUGCUUUUUAUCCCUUUCCCCUAAAUAAAAAGGAAAGCCAUCACAAAAUUGUGACUAGUACCACAGUGUGAUGGGAUGCAAUGCAAAACAUAGCUCUUCCCUUUCCCCUACCCAAACAAUAUUUCUGCAAACUCUCUAGAAAUGUGCUUCCAAUAUUUUCUGUUUAUUCGGUGCCUUAUGCACAGCUGAAAUGUCACACGGGUCUUUGGCUGCACUGUUUGGCUGCCCGCAAGUGCCGGUUCAUAUCUUCUGAGGUCUUCAGGCUUUAGGGAAGGUUUUGCUGGUCCUCCUGCACUGUGUGGAGCCUUCGUGUCUGGAUCUGGCCCCAUCUCCCCAGCUGAGACCGCUAGAGGGCUUGCUAGGAUGGAUUCCCUAUUUCUAUAGAUACACGAAAUGCACACGCUGUGAAGUGUACAGCAGCAUGGGCAUGUGCUGAUCUCAUGUAAACAGCCCUGGGUUUAUAGCUUUCAGAGACAAGAGCUUGGAGAUUUGCUGUGAGGAAUCAAUUCCUAGCAGAAAUGUUUAACAUAUUUGGGUUUUAGCCAAGAGUCUGAGAAAAGAGGGUUUGUGUCUCCCUUUCCCUCUGCUGUGAUCUCCCUACGUGCAACACUAAAAGCUACUCAGGAAAGAAUGACAAGAAGAAACAGCCCUGCCAGCCUUGUCCCCAAGGCAUCAAAUGUCGAGAUGCUCAGUCUGCCCAAGAAGCACCAGGAUAAAGGAAUUUGUUAUGUUUCUGAUCUGUGCAUUGCCACUUUUCUGCAUUAACUGGGGCUGAACCUCCUCCCUGGCAGUCCCUUUUUGCUCAACCUGUGGCACAAAGGAGACAGCAGCAGCCCCUGGAGUCCCCUCAAUAAAAGCUCCUCCACCACAGUUGUUUGAGACUAUGUGCUGUGAAAGUUUUGCCACUACCCAUAGCAGGGUGAGGAGAGAGUUAUGAAAAGUACAGGAAUGCAAAAUCCUGUCCUAUUCUCAGUGAAGAUAGAAAUAAAGCAUGUGUGCGUGUUUCCAGGAUAGAACCUAGUACAUAUGAACCACGUAUUGGCAUUUGUUGGAUGUACAGUUUUUAAAACACAUCAGCUAGCAGAACAGAUACUGCAUCAAUUAUUUUGAAGUGGUUGUGUACUCUCUGCAAUGCAGCUGACCUGAAGAACAGAGUAUUGUGACCAAACAUCACUUUAAAAGCAAGUGUGAUCCUUUGAUUUUUUUUAUUAUUUUUUAUUUUUAUUUUUUGUAAAAGACAGUAUUUGUCAAGCCCGUGUUUACACGAGUAACUUCAAAUCUUGGAGGAUUACUCACCAUGGCAAUUUUUGAGGCUCUUAAGUCACCCACCCAGAUUUUAUCCAUAGGCUGCCAGUGCAGGGGGGUGCUCGGGGUUGUCUGAGUGUGAUCUCCCACCAGGAGCCAGCGAAGGUCUCAGAGCCCUGCAAGUCCUCAUGCAAAGCUCUGCCUCCACUGCUGGUGGCCAGGCAGACGGGGCCAUUGGGAAGGGCUUGAAAGGGCACAUUUAAAAGACACAGUAACUAACAGGAAAAAUUCAGAGUCAUGAGAAGAGAUUGAAAAAGAGAUUUCACAUGAAAGACAAUUUUCUCAUUUUUUUUACCUUCACUCAUUAUUUUUAGAUGUACAAUGUUUUUGCCAGACACACAAAAUGGACACCUGGGAUCCUGACAUCUUACCCUGCAGAGGCCUUGGGCUGCAGUUCCAGUCUUUGGCUGUAUAACCCACUGUGUUUGUGUGUUUGGAAAUCUGCUGGCAAUGCUGGCCUGGGAAGUGCCAUUGCCCACACAACAGCAGAACUGCUGUCCACUGCACGCCUGCACAGAGACUGAAAAUGCCCCUCUCCAGAACCAAACAGGAAUAGAAAAAAAUAGUGAGCUAAAAAGGAAAUGAAACAGGCAAUGAAUGUAUGAGGCUAUUUAACUGCCCAUUUGCCACCAGUUUCUCCCAAAUAUUUUUAUUUGUAUUUCAUCCUUCGUCAGGAUCUCAUCUGAGCAUUGCUGAUUGCUCGGUGCCAGAGACAGGCAAGGGCAAGAAAGGAAAGAGCUGUGAUCCUUUCUGGAGCAUUUGGUCCUAUCCAUCCCCUUAGAUGUAUCCAAAUGUAAAUAACCUUUCAUAUCACUUUGCAAAGCAAUGGCUAAGGAGGAUGGAGGAGAAGGUAGUCUGUAAUGUAAUAAUUUCUGUCUUUUCCCUUUAUUUCCCUGCUUGGUCAAGGAAAGGAAAUCUGUCUGGUUGUUAAUUUGAAAGCAUUUAUAGUGGUGAUGGCAUAAUAGAUAUGAACGUUCAGAAGACUCUGACAACUCCUAAUGUACUGAGACUUUCAGAUGAGAAAAUGAAAGCUGCCUGUAAAGGAUUCCCAUUCAUCAUGAAAAACCCACCAUACCAUGGGACAGCUGCUUGCCUGGGAUCUGUAUCUCAGAUGUGAGGAACCAGAACAGACACAUGCUGUGUUGUACAAAGACCGUAACCCAAGGGACAGUGUUAAAAUAAUUCAGGAAAUCCUUUCUUUGGAGAGAUCUAAUGCUUCCAUACUCUGAAAGAAGGACUUGAAUUCCAGCGGGGGAAGAUCAGCUUUGUGCUAAAGACGGGCGAAUUGCCAUUGCCAUAAGGAUCUGACCACGGUUGUUUCGGUUUUACGAGCCUUUGAAAAAUUCUAGUUUGUGCAUGUGCAGCAGGGCUUUGCAAGAGCUUAGCUAAGAUUAGAAGAGAGCCUCUGCUCGCAUCUCCCGAUGCCUGGCCCUCGUGAGGGGUGUAAUUGGGCUUGCCUCCCUCUCCCCCCAGCAAACACUUGUGAGCAAUAAUCCCUAUUUCCUCCAGGCAUGGAUGCAGGCAGGAUAACAGGCUGCUGCUGCGGCCAUCCUGGGUUGAGGUCUGCCAGCCAUGAGGGGAGGAGAGGAUGAGGGCAGCCCCAGGCUCUGUAGACCUUGCAAAAGGUAACAAGGAGCCAAAUGUCGGCACGGUGCCUGAAUGCCCUUUUUGGAUAAAAGAUGCUGUCUCGGGUUGCAGCUGAUGUGCCCGGCAGGUUCAAUGCUCUCCAGUGGCAAUCUCAAGCUGCUGGGCAGGGGUUGCUCAAUUUCCCUUCUGUAGCACAAAGAAGAUAAAUCCUUGUUGUUGCUCUGUCCUCUGCCUUCCCACUGCAGAGACGCAGUGAGGGGAUGUCUGGGGCCGUGCAGCCAGAGGUGCUGGCUGGGGAUUUCCAGUGCCUGCAGCUUCCCACAGGAUGAAAACCAGGUCCACAUAACCACACCUGCACAUAACCGUGUUUUUACUUUCUUCCUUUUUCCAAAACACACCGGUACCCCAGGGCUGACCCAGCUGGGCUUUACCAGCCUGCCGAGGAAGGCCUUCAUCGAAAUGUGCUGCAUCUCGGGGCAGAACGCUGCUCAUGGAGAACUUCCCAGGGCUCUGCUGUGAACCCAGCACAGCUGUGCCACCAGGUUCGGACAGCCCUAGGUACCGUCACCUCCUGCCACGCUGCUGAGAAGGCAGCGACGAUGUGUCCCCCUGAUGGGGACAGUUUUUUGGGGACGGCCAAUACCUGCCAGACCUGCAGCCACCCCAAAAUGGGAACAAACAGUGCAUGCUUGGUGUCGGUUCACCUGGGGCAAACCCUAUGUGCACCAGCCAGAUUGUAGCUCUUUGUCUGGGUGAAAGCAUCUCCUGACGGAUGUCCCUGGGCUGGGAGAGCCCGCGGCUGGGCACGGCACACCCUGAGUGGCUCUGAGUGACAUGCCCGCGGUGUCGCGCUCACGGCGUGAGGACCGACCCGGCGCUCGGCGUGGGAAGUUUGUUGAGCUGCUGGAAGGAAGCCAGCAGCCCGUGUCUGCUCCAGUUAGAAAAACGUCCCAGCGCUGGAUCCACCCAAUGCAGCCAGAGCUGGGCUGCUUGGCCAGACGACAGGGCUGGCUCUCUCUCCAAAGUGGACAAGUGCCAAAGGGGAUUUUUAAUUUCCAGAUGCUUUUAAAAUAAAAAUAAAGACUGUGCUGUAAACUGGCUUUGAAUGGACGCCUCUCCCUCAGCCAAAUAGUUGACUGAUACAGGCUAGAUGAGUGGGCAAUAAAAGCUUUCAUUGCAAUCUGGUGCACUGGGAGUGCUGCGAGCUCCCUUUGCCGCCCAGCCGCCCUCCGAGGGCCCUCACCUCCAGAGAAACAUCGUUACACCACUUCUGGCUUUUUUUUUUUUUUUUUAAUAUUUUGGAGGGAAGUGGAAAUGCUUGCUGGCAACGGCAGAGUGGGUAUUAAAAGAUAUGGGGAGAAUAUUGUCCUGAGCAUGCCGAUGCGCUGC